AGCUCAGUGGUAGAGUGCUUGCCUGGCAUGCAUGAAGCCCUGGGUUCAAUUUCUAG
rnacentral:tRNA from 1 species